AUGAACGCUGGCGGCGUGCCUCAUACAUGCCAGUCGAGCGAACAGAUAAGGAGCUUGCUCCUUUGACGUUAGCGGCGGACGGGUGAGUAACACGUGGGUAACCUACCUAUAAGACUGGGAUAACUUCGGGAAACCGGAGCUAAUACCGGAUAACAUUUGGAACCGCAUGGUUCUAAAGUGAAAGAUGGUUUUGCUAUCACUUAUAGAUGGACCCGCGCCGUAUUAGCUAGUUGGUAAGGUAACGGCUUACCAAGGCAACGAUACGUAGCCGACCUGAGAGGGUGAUCGGCCACACUGGAACUGAGACACGGUCCAGACUCCUACGGGAGGCAGCAGUAGGGAAUCUUCCGCAAUGGGCGAAAGCCUGACGGAGCAACGCCGCGUGAGUGAUGAAGGGUUUCGGCUCGUAAAACUCUGUUAUUAGGGAAGAACAAACGUGUAAGUAACUGUGCACGUCUUGACGGUACCUAAUCAGAAAGCCACGGCUAACUACGUG
rnacentral:rRNA from 1 species